rnacentral:rRNA from 1 species
CCUACGGGAGGCUGCAGUGGGGAAUAUUGCACAAUGGGGGAAACCCUGAUGCAGCGACGCCGCGUGAGUGAAGAAGUAUCUCGGUAUGUAAAGCUCUGUUAGCAGGGAAGAAAAUGACGGUACCUGACCAAGAAGCCCCGGCAAACUACGUGCCAGCAGCCGCGGUAAUACGGAGGGGGCCAGCGUUAUCCGGAUUUACUGGGUGUAAAGGGAGCGUAGACGGCAGGGCAAGUCUGGAGUGAAAGGCGGGGGCUCAACCCCCGGACUGCUCUGGAAACUGCCAGGCUGGAGUGCAGGAGAGGUAAGUGGAAUUCCUGGUGUAGCGGUGAAAUGCGUAGAUAUCAGGAGGAACACCAGUGGCGAAGGCAGCUUACUGGACUGUAACUGACGUUGAGGCUCGAAAGCGUGGGGAGCAAACAGGAUUAGAUACCCGAGUAGUC